rnacentral:rRNA from 1 species
GAUGAACGCUGGCGGCGUGCUUAACACAUGCCAGUCGAACGGAAAGGCCCCUGCUUGCAGGGGUACUCGAGUGGCGAACGGGUGAGUAACACGUGGGUGAUCUGCCCUGCACUUCGGGAUAAGCCUGGGAAACUGGGUCUAAUACCGGAUAGGACGAUGGUUUGGAUGCCAUUGUGGAAAGUUUUUCGGUGUGGGAUGAGCUCGCGGCCUAUCAGCUUGUUGGUGGGGUAAUGGCCUACCAAGGCGUCGACGGGUAGCCGGCCUGAGAGGGUGUACGGCCACAUUGGGACUGAGAUACGGCCCAGACUCCUACGGGAGGCAGCAGUGGGGAAUAUUGCACAAUGGGCGCAAGCCUGAUGCAGCGACGCCGCGUGGGGGAUGACGGCCUUCGGGUUGUAAACUCCUUUCGCUAGGGACGAAGCGCAAGUGACGGUACCUGGAGAAGAAGCACCGGCUAACUACGUG